GUGUCAGCAGCCGCGGUAAUACGUAGGGGUCGAGCGUUGUCCGGAGUUACUGGGCGUAAAGCGUGCGCAGGCGGCUUGUUGCGCCCGGCGUGAAAGCCCCCGGCUCAACCGGGGAGGGUCGUCGGGGACGGGCAAGCUUGAGGGUAUCAGGGGCUGGUGGAAUUCCCGGUGUAGUGGUGAAAUGCGUAGAGAUCGGGAGGAACACCCGUGGCGAAGGCGGCCAGCUGGGAUACACCUGACGCUGAGGCACGAAGGCGUGGGGAGCGAACGGGAUUAGAUACCCUGGUAGUCC
rnacentral:rRNA from 1 species